UACGUAGGGUGCGAGCGUUGUCCGGAAUUAUUGGGCGUAAAGAGCUCGUAGGCGGCCUGUCGCGUCGGAUGUGAAAGCCCGGGGCUUAACCCCGGGUCUGCAUUCGAUACGGGCAGGCUGGAGUGUGGUAGGGGAGAUCGGAAUUCCUGGUGUAGCGGUGAAAUGCGCAGAUAUCAGGAGGAACACCGGUGGCGAAGGCGGUUCUCUGGGCAUGUCCUGACGCUGAGGAGCGAAAGUGUGGGGAGCGAACAGG
rnacentral:rRNA from 1 species